ACGCUGGCGGCAGGCCUAACACAUGCAAGUCGAGCGGUAGAGAGAAGCUUGCUUCUCUUGAGAGCGGCGGACGGGUGAGUAAUGCCUAGGAAUCUGCCUGGUAGUGGGGGAUAACGUCCGGAAACGGACGCUAAUACCGCAUACGUCCUACGGGAGAAAGCAGGGGACCUUCGGGCCCUGCGCUAUCAGAUGAGCCUAGGUCGGAUUAGCUAGUUGGUGGGGUAAUGGCUCACCAAGGCGACGAUCCGUAACUGGUCUGAGAGGAUGAUCAGUCACACUGGAACUGAGACACGGUCCAGACUCCUACGGGAGGCAGCAGUGGGGAAUAUUGGACAAUGGGCGAAAGCCUGAUCCAGCCAUGCCGCGUGUGUGAAGAAGGUCUUCGGAUUGUAAAGCACUUUAAGUUGGGAGGAAGGGCAGUAAAUUAAUACUUUGCUGUUUUGACGUUACCGACAGGAUAAGCACCGGCUAACUCUGUGCCAGCAGCCGCGGUAAUACAGAGGGUGCAAGCGUUAAUCGGAAUUACUGGGCGUAAAGCGCGCGUAGGUGGUUUGUUAAGUUGGAUGUGAAAUCCCCGGGCUCAACCUGGGAACUGCAUUCAAAACUGACUGACUAGAGUAUGGUAGAGGGUGGUGGAAUUUCCUGUGUAGCGGUGAAAUGCGUAGAUAUAGGAAGGAACACCAGUGGCGAAGGCGACCACCUGGACUGAUACUGACACUGAGGUGCGAAAGCGUGGGGAGCAAAC
rnacentral:rRNA from 1 species